CUCUGUGACUCCUACGGGAGGCAGCAGUGGGGAAUAUUGCACAAUGGGGGAAACCCUGAUGCAGCCAUGCCGCGUGUGUGAAGAAGGCCUUCGGGUUGUAAAGCACUUUCAGUAGGGAGGAAGGUAGUGUAGUUAACACCUGCAUUAUUUGACGUUACCUACAGAAGAAGCACCGGCUAACUCCGUGCCAGCAGCCGCGGUAAUACGGAGGGUGCGAGCGUUAAUCGGAAUUACUGGGCGUAAAGCGCAUGCAGGCGGCCUGUUAAGUCAGAUGUGAAAGCCCGGGGCUUAACCUCGGAAUUGCAUUUGAAACUGGCAGGCUAGAGUCUUGUAGAGGGGGUAGAAUUUCAGGUGUAGCGGUGAAAUGCGUAGAGAUCUGAAGGAAUACCAGUGGCGAAGGCGGCCCCCUGGACAAAGACUGACGCUCAGAUGCGAAAGCGUGGGGAGCAAACAGGAUUAGAUACCCUGGGA
rnacentral:rRNA from 1 species